rnacentral:tRNA from 1 species
GCCUGGGUGGCUCAGUCGGUUAAGUGUCUGACUUCAGCUCAGAUCAUGAUCUCAUGGUUCGAGGGUUCAAGCCCCACGUUGGGCU